rnacentral:rRNA from 1 species
AUUGAACGCUAGCGGGAUGCUUUACACAUGCAAGUCGAACGAGUGGCGGACGUGUGUGUAAUAUAUCUGCAUGUUCCCAGUAGCUGGGGAUCACUACUCGAAAGAGUUGCUAAUACCGCCUACUCUCGCCUCGGCCGAUAUCGGAUUAGCUAGUUGGUGGGGUAAAGGCUCACGAAGGCAACGAUCCGUAGCUGGUUUGAGAGGACGAACAGCCACACUGGGACUGAGACACGGCCCAGACUCCUACGGGAGGCAGCAGUGGGGAAUUUUGGACAAUGGGGGAAACCCUGAUCCAGCCAUCCCGCGUGUAUGAGAAGGCCUUCGGGUUGUAAAGUACUUUUGGCAGAGAAGCGGUAUCUGCAGAAUAAGCACCGGCUAACUACGUGCCAGCAGCCGCGGUAAUUC